rnacentral:rRNA from 1 species
AGGCUUUGAUCCUGGCUCAGGAUGAACGCUGGCGGUCUGCUUAACACAUGCAAGUCGAACGGUGAACCCUCGGGUUCAUAGUGGCGGACGGGUGAGUAACACGUGAGAAUCUGCCUCCAGGUCGGGGACAACAGUGGGAAACUGCUGCUAAUACCCGAUGUGCCAAAAGGUGAAAGAUUUAUUGCCUGGAGAUGAGCUCGCGUCCGAUUAGCUAGUUGGUAAGGUAAAGGCUUACCAAGGCUCCGAUCGGUAGCUGGUCUGAGAGGAUGAGCAGCCACACUGGGACUGAGACACGGCCCAGACUCCUACGGGAGGCAGCAGUGGGGAAUUUUCCGCAAUGGGCGAAAGCCUGACGGAGCAAGACCGCGUGGGGGAUGAAGGCUCUUGGGUUGUAAACCCCUUUUCUCAGGGAAGAAGUUCUGACGGUACCUGAGGAAUCAGCAUCGGCUAAAUCC